ACCUUCAGCAACGCGCUUCCAAAGCUUUAAUAAUGAAGAGUCUCGUUUGUAUACUGAAGGAAACCGCCACUCAACUUCGGAAACAUAAGGAUGAAAAAGUUUGCUCUUAAAUCACAGAUGUAAUCUCAACAGCAUGAGAGUGUGUGUACAGUGUGUACGAGAGGCUUACAGACGGAGUCUGUCUGUGUUACAUGCGUGUGGGUCCCGAGAGAUGUCAAAGAUGCAAAUGAGAGCCCAUCUGCACCAAGGCAUUGUCUUCAUUCUGCUGUAAAGAUGAGUUCUUGGCUGCUUGCUGUGUCAUGGCAUUUCAACACCAUCAGAAAAUCAUUACAGAUCAGAGAGGAACAGGAAAAUAGACAUGUCAGAUGUUAGACAUACAUUAUGUCACACAGGUUCAGAAUGUUCCAUUGCGAAGGCUGUUGUUGUGUUCAGAGAGUGUUAGAGAAUGUACUCUGUGUCUUGGCCUCUCCCUUCAGCGAGCCCAAACCUGUCUCUCCCUCCGUGCCUGUAGGCCAUACAGGUUUCUUGCAGAUGGCCCUUUGGGGUGUGACUGUUUCUAUCGAGGACAGUAUGUCAUCCACAAAACCCUUGAAGCACCCUUAAGUGUCACGACCUGCAGCAUGUAGCCAAGGUGAGUGGGAUUGUGUUUGGGGGCUGUAACUUUACUCAGACCCUCUACCCUGAAUAAUCUGUCUUUUUUUUACCCUCAGACCCAAGCAGAUGGCCAGAAAAAUAGAGCAAAACAGACAAACAUUUGAUGUGAGGACAAAAAGUGCAAAGCAUGCAGUUAAGUGCAUAUUAUAUAUAUGAACUCUGUGUAUAUAUAAACUUUAUUGAUGUUAACCUCCUAAAUCUUAUUGAUAGCCACAGACCUCAGUGUGAGUCUUUCACUUUUAAUAUUUUAUAAUCUAGCGUACUCAGAAUGAUUUAUUGCUUCAUAAUGAAGUUGAGGAGCCCAUCUUGACUAAAGACAAAUCAAAUACACCACACUGAUCUUUAGUUUAUAGAACCUCUUACAUUUUGCAGCCAUUGACUUAUGAGUCACUCAAUUUAACUGCAAGAAAUUUAUAUAUAAGUGCUGGAAGCUAUGCAGAAUGCAAAAUCAGCCUUUGAAACAUGUAAGUCUGGAAUUACAGCCCUACGUUUCAAAGCCCGAGCGCUAUAAACCACAUCCGCCGUGGCACGAGGUUAAUGAGAGGAGUUUGAAGAUGCUUUAUGGAAGAUUUUAUCUGGCAAAUACACAACGCACACACGAAAAGGGAUCCAGAGGAAAAAUAGUCUGCCCCGGGGUCUAAGCAUACUCAAUCAAUAAGCCACAGAGAACCCGUGGUCAGAGGAAUAGCUCUGGCUGUCUCAUCCGUAGGGUUUUCAUUCUCUUAUUCUGCAGCCUGCCUCAUUGUACAUUCCCACAAAUGCACACACACUGCUUGCCGUUGUCCAUAUGGCUUGAGAAUCCAUGAGAGCCUCUCGGUGCCGGGAUGCCGCGCAAGACCGUGACGGCCAAGGCUUCUUCCUGCAUCUCCCUCGAGGCUUGUGGAGACAGGCCUUCUUUAGCAAUGCAGAAGUGGGACGGGACACCGGUUGUAUCGGGGGGAAGCUGCAGCCAAGAAUGCGUAAUGCUGCCAUAAUGCCAUCGAACUGGCGUCUUCAUAAAUGUCUGGUCUCCUGAGACACAACGAGCGCUGUGUGUUUUGUAAGUGAAUAUGUGUGUGCGUGUGUGGGCUACAUGAAUAAAUGCAUGUCCGGCUCCA
ensembl:lncRNA